CUAGUUGUCAGUUAAUUUGUUUGGUAAUAAGCUGUGCAGAACAGUAAACAUCCUUCAAAGAAUUGUAAUUUGUAUUUGCCUGCAGAGCAUGCAUUGUUAAACAGAACCAUGCUGAAAAUAUGUUUAACUCACUUAAAGUGAGACACACGCAGCAAUAUCAGACUAACACUGAUGUUGCUAUCUCAUGGAAGCACCUCUAGUGGCUGUAGUCAUA